UACGUAGGGGGCUAGCGUUGUCCGGAAUCAUUGGGCGUAAAGAGCGUGUAGGCGGCCCGGUAAGUCCGCUGUGAAAGUCGGGGGCUCAACCCUCGAAUGCCGGUGGAUACUGUCGGGCUAGAGUGCGGAAGAGGCGAGUGGAAUUCCUGGUGUAGCGGUGAAAUGCGCAGAUAUCAGGAAGAACACCAAUGGCGAAAGCAGCUUUCUGGGACGGUACUGACGCUGAGACGCGAAAGCGUGGGGAGCGAACAGG
rnacentral:rRNA from 1 species